CGAGCUGACUAUGCGACAGCGUACAACAGUAUGUUUACGAGGAAAGUCCGAGCAUCAUAGAGCAGGAUAGCUGAUAACAUCAGCCGAGGGCGACCUCCGGGCUAGUGCAACAGAAAUAUACCGCCUGUUUUCAGGUAAGGGUGGAAAGGUGAGGUAAGAGCUCACCGGCGUAUAGGAGACUAUGCGGCCAUGUAAACCCUAUUCGAUGCAACACCAAUGGUUUGUGUAAGUUAAUGUCUGCUCGGCAGGCUUGCACUUAUAGGUGGCUUGAGCUUUACGGCGACGUAAAGACUAGAUAGAUUGUCGCACACGACAAAACUCGGCUUAUCGGUCAGGUCGCACA
rnacentral:RNase_P_RNA from 1 species